rnacentral:rRNA from 1 species
UACGAAGGGAGCCAGCGUUGUUCGGAAUGACUGGGCGUAAAGGGCGCGUAGGCGGUUUUACAAGUUUUGUGUUAAAGACCUGGGCUUAACCUGGGGGGUGCAUGGAAGACUGUAAGACUUGAGGAUGAGAGAGGAAAGUGGAAUUGUGCAUGGAGAGGUGAAAUUCGUAGAGAUGCACAGGAAUAUCAGUGGCGAAGGCGGCUUUCUGGCUCAUUACUGACGCUGAGGCGCGAAAGCGUGGGGAGCAAACAGG